AGAGUUUGAUCAUGGCUCAGAUUGAACGCUGGCGGCAUGCUUUACACAUGCAAGUCGAACGGUAACAGGCCGCAAGGUGCUGACGAGUGGCGAACGGGUGAGUAAUGCAUCGGAACGUGCCCAGUCGUGGGGGAUAACGCAGCGAAAGCUGUGCUAAUACCGCAUACGAUCUAUGGAUGAAAGCGGGGGACCGUAAGGCCUCGCGCGAUUGGAGCGGCCGAUGUCAGAUUAGCUAGUUGGUGGGGUAAAGGCCCACCAAGGCGACGAUCUGUAGCUGGUCUGAGAGGACGACCAGCCACACUGGGACUGAGACACGGCCCAGACUCCUACGGGAGGCAGCAGUGGGGAAUUUUGGACAAUGGGCGCAAGCCUGAUCCAGCAAUGCCGCGUGCAGGAAGAAGGCCUUCGGGUUGUAAACUGCUUUUGUACGGAACGAAACGGUCUGGGUUAAUACCUCGGGCUAAUGACGGUACCGUAAGAAUAAGCACCGGCUAACUACGUGCCAGCAGCCGCGGUAAUACGUAGGGUGCAAGCGUUAAUCGGAAUUACUGGGCGUAAAGCGUGCGCAGGCGGUGAUGUAAGACAGUCGUGAAAUCCCCGGGCUCAACCUGGGAGUUGCGAUUGUGACUGCAUCGCUGGAGUGCGGCAGAGGGGGAUGGAAUUCCGCGUGUAGCAGUGAAAUGCGUAGAUAUGCGGAGGAACACCGAUGGCGAAGGCAAUCCCCUGGGCCUGCACUGACGCUCAUGCACGAAAGCGUGGGGAGCAAACAGGAUUAGAUACCCUGGUAGUCCACGCCCUAAACGAUGUCAACUGGUUGUUGGGUCUCUUCUGACUCAGUAACGAAGCUAACGCGUGAAGUUGACCGCCUGGGGAGUACGGCCGCAAGGUUGAAACUCAAA
rnacentral:rRNA from 1 species